GGCGGAAGGGGGUGCCCGAGAGAGGGGAACCCCGGAAAGAGUAAGGAAAGGGAAUGCUUUAAUAACUAUGCAAAUUUACAGCAAAAGCACGUUUCCAUUGCAAAACGCCAUAUCUGAAUGGGACGCACUUUGCUACACGGAGCGCAUACAUAGAGCUUGUUGAACGGCCUGACCCUUGCAUGAGAGAUCCGCAAUAUCGUUAUGGCAAGCAGUGUAUUUACUCACUCCCACAUAAAGCCAGUUGAUGCUUUCAGUUUUUAAUCCAAGUACUAAAAUAAAUACGUCUGUAUGUAUAC
rnacentral:lncRNA from 1 species